rnacentral:lncRNA from 1 species
AUGAUUUCGGGGACAAUUCGGCUCUCGCACCAGGGUUUCUAGAGCCCCUCCACAGAGAGAAGUGGAGUCGGAAGGGUGAGUAAUCCAGAAUAAAGGCCUGAUAAUGGGGCACAUAGAAUCCAAAGAGCGAAAAUUAUUUAUUGAAAUCUUGCUUCAUAUGGUUAGUAAAAGAGGUGUAAAAGUAACUAACCAACAACUUGCAAGAUUUUUACAUUUUAUACAGGAAACCUGCCCUUGGUUCCCAGAAGAGGGGACCGUGAAUCUUAAAACAUGGACAAAGGUAGGUGAAGAACUUAAAACCUAUUAGUGUCUUCUCGUUCCAGAGAAGGUGACUGUUGAUGCUUUUGCUCUUUGGAAUAUUAUUCGGGAUGUUUUAGAUCCCCAAUCUGAGGUAUCUAAGUUAAGUCAGACUUUAUUUUCUUCACAUAAAAGGGAUCCUGAUGAAAGGACACCCCUUUCUCCUAAACCUAAUAGCGGAUCAUUGGCCCCACCAUUGGUAACAACAAUAAGAAAUGAUGAUGAAGAUGAUUGGCUGGAUCCUGAGGAUCAACAGAAAUUAGAGGAUGAGGAGGAAAGAUAUGAGAAAGAAAGAGAGGAAAGGGGAGAUGGACCAUUUAAUGCAUCCAACUUUGGAGCUACAGGGUAUACACCCUCUUUAACAGAAGGUCAAAGACACCUGAUAAGAAAAACUGGAAAUAUCAGUGAUUUUAUCAGACAGUGCGCUGACAUUGGACCUGCAUAUGUGCAGGGCGUUACUAUGGCAGCCACACUCAAGGGUGAAACUUAUUCUCAAUUUUUACAAGGAGUCGGACAGGGUCCAAAAGGGCAAAAGGAACAGAUACUUGAAAAUAAAGGUGCUUGUUUCUCUUGUGGUCUAACAGAACACUUUAGUAAAUUCUGCCCUCAGGGUAAUCAACAACCUUAUGCUCCUGUGCUUCCUGGCCGUCCUGCUCCUGCAGCACCUGUUGCUCCAGUUAUGCCAGGACCAAAAACUAUUUGCCCUAGAUAUCAAAAAGGCUUUCAUUGGGCACCAGGAAAGUGGAGUGGGAGAAAUCCACCUACGGCUGAAAAGGUUUCAUAUAGACAACUCUCCAAGGAGAAAGAGAGGAAAAACAUCCUGGUCCCCUAGGAGGUCUUCCUCUCCUCCAAGGGAUCCUCAACUAUCUCUGAGAUGAUGAGGUCGAGCCCCGAGAACCAACCCUCACACAGGACCACCACCGAUAAUCAUCCCACUGUCGCCAGCUGUCAGUCCAUCAAGAUCUAGACCCCUCGUAGAGCCUGAUCGACGCAACAAUCCAGGGGUCCGACUUGGGGAGAUAUCAAGAAGCUGACUGCUGAUGCCCAAAGCCUCGUUCUGUCUCAGGACCAGAAUCCAAGCUUAAGUGUUUUUUAUUUGUUGCCUUUUUAUCUAUUCUGUCUAUUAAUUCCGCUCAGGUAAGGGCUGAAAAUAAUAAGUCUUAUUGGGCAUUUUUCCCUAACCCUCCAAGCUUUCAGCCUGUGGCUUGGGAUAAUGAAAUGAUUAAAAUACAUACUAAUCAGUUUGAUUUGUUGGGGGUCCAGGAUUACCCUCUGCUCCUUUUGAAAUUACAGAAGCUGUUACUGAAGGUUAUAAUUUUUCAGGUAGCAUUCAUGCUUUCCCAAUAUGUUUUAUUUUACCAUUUACUUCCUCAAAAGGGGCUUCAAAUGAUAUUGCUGGAUGUUUGCCUACUCAAAUUGAUGGAGCUAUAACCUUUAGUCCAGUGGAUAGAAAACCUAAGCCUCGUUCAGCCUAUUAUAAACAAGAUUUCUAUUCAUGGACAAUUAUUUAUCUUGGGCCUGGGAGUACCCAUACAUUAGAUAAAGUAAUUAAUUACCCAUUUAAUGGAGCAGUAAGUUUUUACCAUAAAUUUUCUUAUCCUAAAGGUCAAUUGGGUUGUUCUAUUCCACGUCAAAAUGAUACUUAUUAUUAUCCAGAUUUGGAUAACUUGUGGGAUAGAGUAAAUUAUGGGACAGGGUUCCCACCUUGGAAUUAUUGUAUGUACAAUACUACCGAUCCAAAUGUGGACCCUUAUCAUAAUUUGAAGAUAUAUAAGUGGAAUUCUCCAAAUCCAAAUAAAGAUUUUAGGGGAUGGCUUAAUAAAUAUAAU